UGGGACCACCCCUGACUGCCUUGUUAUGA
rnacentral:piRNA from 1 species